AUUGAACGCUGGCGGCAGGCCUAACACAUGCAAGUCGAGCGAGCGGCGGACGGGUGAGUAAUGUAUGGGGACUGCCCGAUAGAGGGGGAUAACUAAUGGAAACGGUGGCUAAUACCGCAUACUAUCGGAUAACCGAUAUGGGAUUAGCUAGUAGGUGGGGUAAAGGCUCACUUAGGCGACGAUCUGUAGCUGGUCUGAGAGGAUGAUCGGCCACACUGUGACUGAGGCACGGCCCUGAGUCCUACGGAGGCAGCAGUGGGGAAUUUUGCACUAUGGGCGCAAGCCUGAUGCAGCCAUGCCGCGUGUAUGAGGAAGGCCUUAGGGUUUUAAAGUACUUUCAGCGUUUAGGCGUUACCCGCAGAAGAAGCACCGGCUAACUCCGUGCCAGCAGCCGCGGUAAUUC
rnacentral:rRNA from 1 species